rnacentral:rRNA from 1 species
AUUGAACGCUGGCGGCAGGCCUAACACAUGCAAGUCGAGCGGUGCGGCGGACGGGCGAGUAAUGCCUAGGAAUCUGCCUGGUUGCGGGGGAUAACGGCCGGAAAGGGGCGCUAAUACCGCAUACCAUCAGACGAGCCGAGGGGGGAUUAGGUAGUUGGUGGGGUAAAGGCCUACCAAGGCGACGAACCGUAGCUGGUCUGAGAGGAUGAUCAGUCACACGGGAACUGAGACACGGUCCAGACUCCUACGGGAGGCAGCAGUGGGGAAUAUUGGACAAUGGGGGAAAGCCUGAUCCAGCCAUGCCGCGUGUGUGAAGAAGGUCUUCGGGUUGUAAAGCACUUUAAGUUGGGAGGCGUUACCAGCAGAAUAAGCACCGGCUAACUUCGUGCCAGCAGCCGCGGUAAUAC